CAACGAGCGCAACCCCUGUGUGUUGCCACUUCGGCGUGAGCCGGAAGCACUCUGUUCAGACUGCCCUGUGAAACGGGGAGGAAGGUGGGGACGACGUCAAGUCAGUAUGGCCCUUACGGCCAGGGCUGCACACGUACUACAAUGCCCAGUACAGAACGAUCCGAGACCGCAAGGUGGAGGAAAUCCAGUAAAACUGGGCCCAGUUCGGAUUGGAGUCUGCAACUCGACUCCAUGAAGCCGGAAUCGCUAGUAAUGGCGUAUCAGCUACGACGCCGUGAAUACGUUCCCGGGCCUUGUACACACCGCCCGUCACAUCAUGGAAGUCGCUUGUAGCCGAAGCCGGCGCGCUAACCCGCAAGGGAGGCAGCCGCCUACGCUAUGAGCGGUAACUGGGAUG
rnacentral:rRNA from 1 species